AGCAAAAUCAGUUUGCUUUGAGUUAAAGAGGACACCUGUGCCGUAGCCUCACCACGUGACGUACACCACUUCAUAGCUACACAGCACCUGUGACAGGGUGUGUCUCUCAACAGAAUCCAUGCCUAGAGAAGACUCUGCAAGGGGACGAGCUGAGGCAUGUGCCUAUUUUCAGGUUCCGGAUGAGUCUCUUGGUGGUGUUUGGCCAUAUCACCAUGACAUGUCUCUCAGACGCGCAGGGAUAGGAUCAGGAGCUAGAGAGAGCUUCACCCCAUGCCACUGACCACAACCUCUCCUAUCUGGCUUCCUUUCACCCUACAUGGAUUCAGACUCUAUAGUCUACAAACUCUACCCGGUCAUUCACCCAGUGCAGGCCUUGUCAGAGCCCUUCUCCCAAGGAGCCAUGCACACCAAGCCUUGUGCAGCUGAAGUCCAUGCUAAAUAACAGAACUUAAAGUGGGGGAGCCCAAAGUUGAGGAGAAUGUCCUACAAAUGAGCCCUCAUAGGAAGCGUCAUUAGAAGUGGUCUACUGUGUAACAUGGGCUGAGAUUCCCGAACUACGUCCUGGGAAGUGGGGCUCACUCUGAAGGUCUUCUCUGUGAUACUGGGGUCCAGUGACUUCUGCUCCUCAGAUACUGACCACCUUCUCUGCUGGUCAGUGUUUAUCUCAAGGGAGAAGAGCAAGCAUACACACCUUAUUCAGAAAAGAGGGAGAUGAGCAGGCGCCCGAAAGCAGAUGUGAGUAGUUCAUUGUGGCUGUGUUGUCACAGUUCAAAGGUCGAGUUUCUUAUUCCGCUUUCUUACUCCCGUGUAACCUACUUACUUAGUUAACAUCAAAGCUUCCUGGCUUCCUCUCCCCCUUCAUUGUCACUUUCCCCCCGUCAGUCACCUGGUGCCUUCUCCGCUGUCUGCAGGGCUCACACUCUGUUUUUAAUUGACUGUUCAAACUCACAGGCGAGCAGCAGCUCCACGGCUAGAGGACACAGGGAAAACACGGGCAUUCUUUCCCUGAGCUGGCAAGAGACAAUUAGGAGAACACACCACAGGGGUGAGACGGCAAUUAAGGAAAAGAACCAGUCCCCAUUGCGUGCCGUGCCGUUGUGUUUACCACAGAACGUUUGAACAGGUGAGCCAUCACAGCGUGCUUGGGGCAAGGCAGUCUGUCCUGGGUGUGGCACACAGAUGUUAUGCAAAUCACACACAGGGUGGGUCAUCCAGGGCAGGUGAUGGAACUGUGAGCGGUGCCACCCAGGGCCUUCUGUAGACAUUGUAGGCGUGUUAUUUCCCCUGGACAUGCCAGGUUAAUAAUCUAUUGACAAGCUGAAGGUCUGGCUCAGCCAUUUCCAGGGAUGUCUCACGAAUGCACAGAGGUACACUUAGAAUUUGACAGACAGGCUGCUGGAGUGAAAUUUAGUGAGGUCCAUUUCGUGGGCUAGUACAGGACACUUAUCUGCAGCAUACUUCCCUGUCAAUAAUAAUCGAGCACACACAGACUCAUAGAUAUCCCAUCAGUAUUAACAGGCAGCCCAGGCAAGUUAAAACAACCCAAGAGCAUUACCCACUUAGAAUGUAUAAUUAAGAAAAGAAUAUCUUCAUUUCUUUAACUAGGAAGGGCAUUAACCCAGAAUGCCUUGUUAGUUCAAUUCUGAGACACUGUAGACUAACUCACCUGCACCCAUGGCUUUUAGAAAGGGAACAAGCAUCUAUGGACAGAAGGGACCACUUAGCUGCCCAAGGAGGCUGCACCUGUUCCUUAAUGUGCACAGGAUCUUCUUAUUCUGUUUCUUCUACCCCAAGGUUCUGCUUUGAAUGGCCAUGUAGGGAAAGAGCAUAUCACUAGCCUAGAAAUUCAUUAGGCUUACAACCAAGGUGCUGGGCCUCAGCGAUCUGCAAAACCCAGGCAGAGGGCAGAGAUGCUACCCUGGAGUAGAUGCUGAUGGCUACAUCAACAUCUGCCCCAGAGGAGUCAAACCCACCACUGGCCUUUUCCUGUUUCUAGGUAUUCAAACUUAAGUGAUAUGCUAGCCAUUCUAAGCUGAGGGUCGACAUGAAAUGGUCUGGAGGGCUGACCAACCAAUGGAAAAUAUCUCUGGAGAACCCCCCCUUCGCACGGGCCAUGAAGGUUCCCAGCCAGGUACUUAGCAAUGUCAUGUGUCCUGGCUUCAUUUCUGUCGCUGUGAUAAAAAUCUCCCAACCUACAGCCACUCAGGGGAGAAAAUAUUUAUCAGCUCCCAGUUCCAGGUUGUUGUCCAUUAUUGGGGCGGGGGAGUCAAGUCAACCUAAUCUAAUUUCACACUGAGACUUUCUUUCCAGUUGAUUUUAAAGUAUGGCAAGUUAAAGAUGAAAACCAACUGCCACAACAUGCCACACCCUAAGUUACAGGAUACGGAACAACCUCUUUGGGCGACCAGUGGCAAAGGUACCAAGCAACCUCAGGAUUUCACAUAAGAUGGCAAGCCACAGACCAUACAAAAAGCAUGUUUAAGACUCCUGUAGAAAUAAAGUGGACUGGGGGUAUAAGAAAAUGGACAAGAAACAAUAUUUAAGAGAAAAACAGACUCUAGAAAGAGCAAAACAUAACUCUCAGAAGUGUAAAUUAAGUCACUAAAAUGAAUAUUUGGAAUAUGAAUUAAGCAUCUACUUAGGAAGGAUGAGCCAUGUGGUACUACCAUGGAAAUUACCCAGAGGGAAGUGCAGGGUGAGAUGAGGUGAAAACAUCAAAGAUAAUUCAGGGAGGAAACAGGGAUGAGACAGUAUGGCAUCACCUCCAAGGUAAGGCCCACAUCGUCCAGAUUUGGUUAAAUGGGUGCACCUGGCAAUGUGCUGACCAGCUGCCUCCAAUGGCAUGAGUUUUAAAACUUCAGGCCCCUGUGCUAAACUAGAUAUUGACACAUGCACGCAGAAUGGUGUGUGUUCGUUUGUUCUGUCCUUCUCUUCCAUGCUCACUACGUGAUACUCAUGACGGAGGUACUUCAGCACACAGAGCUAGGUCAGGGUUCUGAACCCCACAGUGAGCGGUCCUGGGAGGAGUCACGCAGCCCACACAUGGCCACAGUGAGUGCCUCAGUGCACACUAGCACAUGGUACCUCUGUGUUCAGAAGGUGGAAGGACAAUGGUGACAGGUCAGGGGUGGCCAUGGAGAGCAGGAGGCACACAGCUACACUCUGAGGAAGAGAGGGGGAGGCUCUUGGAGAGUCACCGGUGAGGGGCAGCUGGAGGAGAGCUGCCGUGGCUGACCGGGAAGGGACCAGCUUGAAGAGGGACAGACAGAGAAGCCAACGGGGCGCCUUUAGAUAGCCCGAAAUGCCUACAGCAGUGCGUUUCCGAGUUUUUCUAUCCUGGCAACUUCCAAACUGAAUCCCAGGGAUGUACAGUUUGCAGGAGAGGGUGAUGCCAAGCUGCUCACCCUACAGAGCGGAGGAAGCUGCUCCAGAAGUAGGCUGCUCUGCAGAGGGAGCCCCGACUUCCCAUGAGAACUACACAAUUCAGACUUUAUCCUUCAGCAUGGAAAGGACCCUUGCAGGACAUGGCCAUGCAGGUACAGAAGGCAUCACUUGGUCCUGUCUGAGGACAGCUUAGGAACUGCCAUGCCAGCUGCUCUUCCAUGUGGCCAUGUGAGCCCAUGAGUCUUUAGAGUUGGGCUUCUUAAUCCUUUCCAUUCAUAACCCCACUUCAGCCAGGAACUUUUGAUGCUACUCUAGGUAUUUGUAGAAGUAUACAAAACAAGUAUACAAAUUAAGCAUUUUCCAAUACAUCAUGUAAAGAAAUUUCUCAUAAAAUGUAUCUUUGGUAUGAAUUUAAUCAUUUAUUGAAAUGGAAAUGAAAUAUGCACACUAAUGAUAUAGGUAGCUUAUUUAUUUUUACAUAAAAACCUACCACAAUUCCCCGGGCCCCUCUGUACAUCUUGAGUGUGGUAUAUGUCUGUCUGGUCAGGUUGAAACAGACACACCUCCUACCCAAGUAAAUUUCUUGUGUAUAACAAUACGAUUAUUGAUUGCAUUAACAUAUAUCCUCAACUGGUAGGGGGCAGAGCUUUGUUAUAGCCUGUGAGACUCUGUGAGCUUCCUGUGGCCCAGAAAGCUCAAUAGCAAAAGAAAAGCCACUGUCACAACCAGGUACACAUUUGACAAAUGACAUGUGAUGCCUGUGUGGCACGCAGUGUAUCUACUUAGGUCCCCACAGCCCAGAGCAACCUGCCUGCCUGCCGGCUGGGGGAGACCUUGCAGAGGGUAAAUUAUGUAAAACACAAUUACGUCCAUGCACACUCACGGAUGAGCUUAGCAGAAGCUGCGGUGAACGUGAGUGAAAAAGCAGAGAUGGCAGAAGGCUCCACCUGAAUUCGGAGAUUUCUGCAACUGCCAACCAGGAUGGAAAGUGUGUGGAAAAGGCUGUGGGUGCAGCACCCUGGCCAAGAAGCCUGGCACAUUUGGAGAGAUAGGAGAAGGCAGGCUUGCAGAGGGAGGGGUGGGGGGUAGCAAGCCUGCAUGGAGCGUGGGUUCAGGUUCCUCUCACCUGCCAGCCUCCCUCUAGGUAGUGCCGCACAGCCAGGGAGACUCCAGGACCUUGCACUAUCUGCUCACUGCCUGCACCUCUGCAGAGGUCUUUCUCCAGCAGCCGGACUGUUAACCACAGCUGUCACCUAGCCGACUGUCUCACUGGGGACUCCGAUGACUCUACUGCUCCCUGAGUUGAAGAUGUGAACCCCCAGCUUGCUUUGCUGUUGCCCAGCCGCUGUGCCCGCCUGCUGCCAUGCUUCCAUGCCAUGACGGUGAUAGACUCUGAUCCCUCUGGAAUCACAAGCCCAAAUCAACCUUUCUAUAAGAUGCUUUGGUGGCAGUGUUUUAUCACAGCAAUCUAAGCAUGAUGCUUGCAUGUGCUCGGGUAUAGGACCCACUGGAACAUGGGUAGCCUCUCACGGGUUGUAUCCCUAAACAAAGCUGAGCUUCCGGUGGGUGAGUGUUUGUAACUCGCAAGAGUAAGGUCAGAUGGGCUCCCACACGCCUGGCAUGCCACCAAAUAUGCUGUUCUACAUUUCUUUCUUUUUAAAACAUUUAUAUGAUUCAGUUUAUUCAAAUAGCUUAAGCUUAACAAAUUUAGCAAACACAAGGAGGCUAGACAACAUUCUUAAGCCUGAAGGGACCUUGGGUAAGGAGAAAUACUCUUCAUGUCACUGGUUCUCAACUUUCCCAAUGCUUUGACCUUUCAGUACAGUUCCCCAUGUUGUGGUGACCCCCGUUACAAUUUUUUCACAUUGCUAUUUCAUAGCUGCAGUUUCGCCAUUGUUCUGACUCUCAGUUGCAAACGUCUGACAUACAGGUGGUCCCAGGCGACCCCUGUAAAAAGGUUUUUUUCAACCCCACAAGGGUCAAGAUUCAUGGAGUCAGACGCUGUUCCAAGCCUUAGCCAAACUGCUUAGGCCAUUGUCUUGCUGCAUCACAAGAAAGGAACAUCCCAGUUUCUGGUUAGUAUUUGGUGCUUAUGGCUGGGACCCUAAUUUUUAGCCUUCUCUUUUAAGUCCAAGUAUUAGCAAUAUAGAUAGAGCAUUUUAUAAACUUAAAAUGUCCCACAGCCUUCUAAAUUUAAAUAUUUUUUAAAAACUGUUCUUUAAAAGGUUAAAAUCUCUCAAAUGUCUUUCUGCAAUAUCAACAAUAAAGCACCUUCUUUCACUUUACGAGGGAGAAAACAUGCCAUAACCACAAUCUGUAUAAAGUAAAACCAAGCUCCAGAGUGCAAACAAUCCCAAAGUUCAAUAUCUGGAAUUUAUUCACAUUCCUUUUGGUUCUUUUACUUAGAGGCUUGGAUCAUUUCUUUGACCCUACCCUUGGCAGCACACACAUAGCCUGCCUUCUAGAUCUCAACCUGCUCCACUUCAUUGUGGCUGGUGUUUCUGAUGAUCAUCACUUGUCAUUGGCAUUUCCAAAACUGCUAAGGUCCACCAUUGCAACUGGACUCUCUUUGGAACUCUAGCCCUGCCAUACAUUUGCAAACAUCAGCUGUUCCCCAUGAUCUCUUCAUGUCUUUAAAAAUCAUUAUCAUCUUAUUACAUUGCUAAAUCUUAAGUUAUAAUGUUCAGCUGCCAGAGCAAGGUAUAUUCUUGUGUACAAAAGCAUUGAGGUACAGCUUUAAUGUUUAUCGAUUACCUUAUUUAUUAAACAUAUCUAUUUAAAUUCUCUUGCUGUCGAACACUUGAUAAAGACGUAAGUACCAAUUAUGCUGUUCUACAUUUCUUAUCUGCAGCCUCGGAGAGCUGCCUGACUUCCUGGGCUGGAUACAGCUGGAACAGAGGUGUGCUGAGCCUUAUGCCGACUCAGUCAGACCAACAGUGGGUUUGCUGAUUUCAGUCCCAAGACCCCAGGUCCAGCUAUAGAUUGAAGGAUCAAAAGUAGUAACUUCUGAUUUUUAAGUAUGUAACUUCAGUUUAGACAUGCACGUGUGUAAACACAUAUACCUGAUCCCAGGACUCUGUAGCAGCCAAACUUAUGACCCACACAGUUGAUGUAAGCCUGAGGGAGUCCUCUAAAACAUACAGAAUAAGUACUAAGCCCGCCUCCCCACUUCAGGUCAAGCUGACAAACUCCUCCUCAUUGUAAUUAAACAAGUCAGACUUGUGGAAAAUCCUCAUUUUUUUUUUUCCUCUCCACUGGCUAUCACAGAAUGACAAUGUAUUUUAAACCCCUCAGAUGAAGUUUGACUCUAGGGAAUGGGAGCAGACAUUUUUACAGGAGUGUUUAAUAACUAUCUGUUUUUAUUCUGUUGUUGUUAUCUUGUUGAACGUGAUAUUACUCAUGUGGCCCAAUGGGAAUGGAAGAGGGGCCAGCAGCGGGCCCAGAGGGACUUGCUGGGAGUUCUGACCCAGGUCCCUGGGGCCCUGCCUCUCUACUUCCUUUCAAUAUCUGCUCAGAUGCCUCUCUACUUCCUUUCAAUAUCUGCUCAGAUGCAACAUCUGUUGAUCAAAAGAUACAAUGGACUUCAGUAACUCAGAUAUGUCAGUCAUCAACUUGACAGACGGGCAUUCAAAGCUCUGACGCUUGAUUCAGCCCUGAGCAUGUCCCUGGGCAGAAUCACAGUGGGGUGCCCACACAGAAGCAUGGAAGGAAUAUACUGGAGUCCAAUCCCUCUGUGUGUUUGAAAAUCCUAACUGUUAAUCUGUAAUCUUUCCAUAAAAAUAUUAACUCCAAGCUGGGCAGUGGUGGUGCAUGUCUUUAAUCCCAGCACUUGAGAGGAAGAGAUAGGCAGAUCUCUGUGAGGUCGAGGCCAGUCUGACAGCCAGGGCUACAUAGAGAGACCCUGUCUUGAAAAACCAAAUACACACACACACACACACACACACACACACACACACACACACACACACACUAUCCCCACCAUUCUCUGUAUGACACCAAUGGGGAAAAGCUUCUUCAAGAGCAGUGGUGAUCUGGGGAGCCCUCAGGCACACACUUGGUCUUGAGUGAGAGAAUCCUCACUCACGUGUUGAGUGGUCUGCCUUGGCCUAGAGAAGAGAAAUACUUCUGAACUACUCUGCUGGGGAGACCUGUUCUCAUUUCAACUGCAUUUAGCUACUGAGCAUGCAGCUUUGAGGGGGCAGCUCACAUGUAUGUGCCACUGAAUAUUCACGGACUGUGCUUACGGCUGCAUAUUCAUGGGUUGUAGACAGUCUCCCAUACUGAAGACCUCGCCUUCUGAAUGUUGACAGUAGUAGAAGCUGUGGCCAUGUGACUGCACAGGUGGGCUCAGCGGACAGCUCUGUCACGACAUGAGCUUUGGCAAUGUGGUCACACAGACAGGACAAAGGAAAGUGGUUAUCUCUGACUGUGCCCCACGGUACCGGUGGUGGUUUGAACAGGAAUGGCGCCCACAGACUCAUGUGUUUGAGGGCUUGGCCAUAGUGAGUGGCGCGAUUAGGAGGUGUGGCCUCGUUGGAGGAAGUGUGUCACUGUGGGGUGGGCUUUGAGGCCUCAAAUGCUCAAGCCAGGACUAGUGUGACGUUCACAUAUCCUGUUGCCUGCCAUAAUGGUAAUGGACUAAACCUCUGAAACUGUAAGCCAACCCCAAUUAAAUGCUUUCCUUUGUAAGAGUUGCCUUGGCCAUGGUGUCUCUUCACAGCAAUAAAACACUAACCAAGACA